rnacentral:rRNA from 1 species
AUUGAACGCUGGCGGCAGGCUUAACCCAUGCAAGUCGAGCGAGCGGCGGACGGGUGAGUAAUGUCUGGGAAACUGCCUGCUGGAGGGGGAUAACUACUGGAAACGGUAGCUAAUACCGCAUACCAUCAGAUGUGCCCAGAUGGGAUUAGCUAGUAGGUGGGGUAAUGGCUCACCUAGGUGACGAUCCCUAGCUGGUCUGAGAGGAUGACCAGCCAAACUGAAACUGAGAAACGGUCCAGACUCCUAAGGGAGUAAGCAGGGGGGAAUAUGGAAAAAUGGGCGCAAGCCUGAUGCAGCCAUGCCGCGUGUGUGAAGAAGGCCUUCGGGUUGUAAAGCACUUUCAGCGAGGAGGCGUUACUCGCAGAAGAAGCACCGGCGAACUCCGUGCCAGGAGCCGCGGUAAUUC